CCUUACACAUGCAAGUCGAACGGCAGCACGGGGGCAACCCUGGUGGCGAGUGGCGAACGGGUGAGUAAUACAUCGGAACGUGUCCUGUAGUGGGGGAUAGCCCGGCGAAAGCCGGAUUAAUACCGCAUACGCUCUACGGAGGAAAGGGGGGGAUCUUAGGACCUCCCGCUACAGGGGCGGCCGAUGGCAGAUUAGCUAGUUGGUGGGGUAAAGGCCUACCAAGGCGACGAUCUGUAGCUGGUCUGAGAGGACGACCAGCCACACUGGGACUGAGACACGGCCCAGACUCCUACGGGAGGCAGCAGUGGGGAAUUUUGGACAAUGGGGGCAACCCUGAUCCAGCAAUGCCGCGUGUGUGAAGAAGGCCUUCGGGUUGUAAAGCACUUUUGUCCGGAAAGAAAACGCCGUGGUUAAUACCCGUGGCGGAUGACGGUACCGAAAGAAUAAGCA
rnacentral:rRNA from 1 species